GACAGAGGGUGCAAACGUUGUUCGGAAUUACUGGGCGUAAAGCGUGUGUAGGCGGCCACGUAAGUCGGAUGUGAAAGCCCCGGGCUCAACCCGGGAAGUGCACUCGAUACUGCGUGGCUUGAGUACUGGAGAGGUUGGUGGAAUUCUCGGUGUAGAGGUGAAAUUCGUAGAUAUCGAGAGGAACACCGGUGGCGGAGGCGGCCAACUGGACAGAUACUGACGCUGAGACACGAAAGCGUGGGGAGCAAACAGG
rnacentral:rRNA from 1 species